rnacentral:rRNA from 1 species
GAUGAUGUGGAUUAAUUAGAUGCAACGCGAAGAACCUUACCUACCCUUGACAUGCCAGGAACCCUGAUGAGAGGUGGGGGUGCCCGAAAGGGAGCCUGGACACAGGUGAUGCAUGGUUGUCGUCAGCUCGUGUCGUGAGAUGUUGGGUUAAGUCUCGCAACGAGUGCAACCCUUGUCAGUAGUUGCCACUGGAAACGGGCACUCUAGUGAGACAGCCGGUGACAAACCGGAGGAAGAGUGGGGAUGACGUCAAGUCCUCAUGGCCCUUAUGGGUAGGGCUUCUCACGUCAUACAAUGGUGCAUACAGAGGGGUGCCAACCCGCGAGGGGGAGCCAAUCCCAGAAAGUGCGUUGUAGUCCGGAAUGCAGUCUGCAACUCGAGUGCGCGAAGUUGGAAUCGAUAGUAAUUGAGGAACUGCAUGGCGCGGUGAAUACGUUCCCGGGUCUUGUACACACCGCCCGUCUCACCAUGGGAGCGGGUUCUGCCAGAAGUAGUUAGCCUAACCGCAAGGAGGGCGAUUACCACGGCAGGGUUCAUGAAUGGGGUGAAGUCGUAACAAGGUAACCA